UCUCAUGGAUGAGCAAAGAGUGAUUUCUUGAGAUGGAAACUGCUCCUGGUGAAGAUGCUGUGAA
rnacentral:pre_miRNA from 1 species